rnacentral:lncRNA from 1 species
AAGUAAAAUUUUAUUACAUACUUAUUUCCAAAGAGGACAGAGAGAUACAUCAAAUAUUCCAAUUCAUUGCAUUGAUUACAGAAGAUGCUCACAACCACUUCAUAGAAACUGUACUGGGUUUUUUUUUGGGGGGGGGGCGAGAGGGGAGCAGGUAUGGUAGUAUAUACAUGCAUCCCAACAUUUACAAGACAGAGAAGGGUCUCACGUUUGGAGCCAGCCUGGGCAAUAAUUAAGAUUCUGUCUCAAAAAGGGAAACCAAGAACCACAUACAUAAAAGCCAGUUUUUUUCUUAAGUCAUCUAUCUGGAGUAAACAUCAUUUCUAAAUAACCUACAAGACCAAGGUGUUAACAGUAGCAAACUAAGAUGGAAAAGUCAGUCAGGGGUAUUUUUCUGGGUCUUUAAAUGUAACUCAGGCUGGCUAGUAACUCAUGAUCCUGCUUCUGCCUCCCAAAUGCUAGAAUUACAAGUAUACGCUGCCGCCUCUGGUCAGUCAGUAGGGGCUAUAUCUUUGCCUCCAAAGAAGCUCUUAGAGGACUGUCACCUACUUGCCUUAUACAGGUCACAGUAUUUUUGCAGGGCCACUUCUUCCAUGGCUUUUAUCUACCAUAUAGGAAGCCAGCCCCUUUGUCCUUCAUUCAGAUGCAGUAGACACAGGAUCUCUUAAUUGAGCUGAGAAGUUGGUUUUCAAAACAAGAAACCACAUGAAGAAAAUCUUUGAUAAAUAAGCAACCAAAGGUCUUAGAUUGCAGUAUAUGAAAUGUAAUGUCACCUGUAAACAACCACCAUACUGCCAGACCUUAUGGAUUGCUUGGCUGAUCUACUGUAAUCACAUGAUACAGUACAGCCAGGCCAGUACCCAUGACAGGCCUGCCUUCUACCUAGGAAGGUUCCUGUCACACCUCAUAGGGCUGUGCUGGUGGUAAUGGUAAAGUAGAAAACUUUGAAAAAGGCCGUCUAACUCCUAAAUUGCCUUCUUCAGCACAAGCCAGAGAUAAAGCACCCAAUGUGACAUUUGAGAUAUCCUCUUCUGGAGACAACAUGAAGCCACAGCACAGCUGUGGCAGACAAGGGAAGAUGUGCCUUGUGGCCUUGGCCUUAUAGUGGUCCAGCCUGGAUGCCAGCUCGUCUUCUCCAGAUUCCACAUUCCUUUUCUUCAGGUUAAUGAGUGACAGUGGCUCUCGCCUGUCCCAGUUGGAGUCCCAGACGCCGCGCCCGGGUCGCGCUCCCGUCCAGGCCGGCGGCUCGGUCGCGCGCGUGUCUGCAUCCCCGCCACCUCGCGGCUUCCCUACCGCCACCGCCGAGAAGAGAACAGCGGCCGAGCCACCCGCCAGACCACAGGCCGCCAGCUGAAGCGCCUGCCGGAAAGCCAUGCCGCAAA